rfam:Clostridium spiroforme DSM 1552 Scfld_02_2 genomic scaffold, whole genome shotgun sequence.
AUUUAUAAAAUAGCGCCAGGACUAAUUUAUUAGUUGACGAGGACUAGACUUUUCGAAAUAUUCGGCGGGUGGUCUAGAGGUAUGAUACUACCUAAACGAUGAACAAAAAUAAUGAGUGAUCAUUAAACAAAUUCAUUUGGUAUCCUCCA